rnacentral:ncRNA from 1 species
AAGGCAGAACCCGAAAAGCCGAAACAGAGUAGGGA